rnacentral:rRNA from 1 species
UGCAUAUCAAUAAGCGGAGGAAAAGAAACCAACAGGGAUUGCYCUAGUAACGGCGAGUGAAGCGGCAACAGCUCAAAUUUGAAAUCUGGCUCUCGGGCCCGAGUUGUAAUUUGUAGAGGAUGCUUUUGAUGCGGUGCCUUCCGAGUUCCCUGGAACGGGACGCCAUAGAGGGUGAGAGCCCCGUCUGGUUGGAUGCCAAAUCUCUGUAAAGCUCCUUCGACGAGUCGAGUAGUUUGGGAAUGCUGCUCUAAAUGGGAGGUAUAUGUCUUCUAAAGCUAAAUACCGGCCAGAGACCGAUAGCGCACAAGUAGAGUGAUCGAAAGAUGAAAAGCACUUUGAAAAGAGAGUUAAAAAGUACGUGAAAUUGUUGAAAGGGAAGCGUUUAUGACCAGACUUGGGCUUGGUUAAUCAUCUGGGGUUCUCCCCAGUGCACUUUUCCAGUCCAGGCCAGCAUCAGUUUUCGCCGGGGGAUAAAGGCUUCGGGAAUGUGGCUCUCUCCGGGGAGUGUUAUAGCCCGUUGCGUAAUACCCUGGCGGGGACUGAGGUUCGCGCAUCUGCAAGGAUGCUGGCGUAAUGGUCAUCAACGACCCGUCUUGAACACGGACCA